CAUAUUGUAUUUUAUAAUUCCUUUUAUUUAUAGAAACAUUAAUCCUGAUGUUUAUGAUAUAUUGUUCUUUGUUAGUAGAAAGUUCUGGCAAUGGGAAUAUCCAUAAACUAAAUCUAAACUAUACAAUUAGUUUUAUAAGUGAUCAAAAAAGGACUUCUUGGAAACAACUACAAAUACCCAACAUCAUCUGCAACCUUAGAAGAACGAACAGAACUAUUUACAUAUAUUAAACAGACAAUAUCCAAAGUUGAAUUACAUCGGAAGCUACAGCGAAAGGCUUACAACCAAAAAAGUGGCGUCAGUAGACUUGAAGAGUGCCUUCCCCCCCCCCUCUCUCUCUCCAAUGAGAUGAAUUUCUUUUGACGUGUCCAAAUAUCAUCUUUCGACUUUACGAGUCAUUUGUGUCAUCUGCCCUACCUAGAUGGUCUUCAAACUCAAGCACUCCCUCAACUUUGCUGGUCUUUGGACUUAACUUCCCGUAACCUGAAUCUGAGCAG
rnacentral:lncRNA from 1 species